rnacentral:rRNA from 1 species
GAUCAUGGCUCAGGACGAACGCUGGCGGCGCGCCUAAGACAUGCAAGUCGAACGGAGAUUACAGGCGGAAGUUUUCGGAUGGAAGCUUGUAAACUUAGUGGCGGACGGGUGAGUAACACGUGAGCAACCUGCCUAUCAGAGGGGGAUAACGAUUGGAAACGAUCGCUAAUACCGCAUGACAUAGCGGAACCGCAUGGUUUUGCUAUCAAAGAUUUUAUCGCUGAUAGAUGGGUUCGCG